rnacentral:rRNA from 1 species
UACGGAGGGUGCGAGCGUUGUCCGGAAUCACUGGGCGUAAAGGGCGCGUAGACGGCUUGGGAAGUCCGUGGUGAAAGCCCGAGGCUCAACUUCGGGUCGGCCAUGGAUACUCCUAAGCUCGAGUCGACUAGAGGCUAAUGGAAUUCCGGGUGUAGCGGUGGAAUGCGUAGAGAUCCGGAAGAACACCGGUGGCGAAGGCGGUUAGCUGGGGUCGGACUGACGCUGAGGCGCGACAGCGUGGGGAGCAAACAGG